AGUAAAUAGAUACCCAGGUAGUCCACGCCGUAAACGAUGAAUACUAGGUGUAGGGGUUGUCAUGACCUCUGUGCCGCCGCUAAACGCAUUAAGUAUUCCGCCUGGGGAGUACGGUCGCAAGAUUAAAACUCAAAGGAAUUGACGGGGGCCCGCACAAGCAGCGGAGCAUGUGGUUUAAUUCGAAGCAACGCGAAGAACCUUACCUAGACUUGACAUCUCCUGAAUUACCUUUAAUCGGGGAAGUCCCUUCGGGGACAGGAAGACAGGUGGUGCAUGGUUGUCGUCAGCUCGUGUCGUGAGAUGUUGGGUUAAGUCCCGCAACGAGCGCAACCCUUAUUGUUAGUUGCUACCAUUUAGUUGAGCACUCUAGCGAGACUGCCCGGGUUAACCGGGAGGAAGGUGGGGAUGACGUCAAAUCAUCAUGCCCCUUAUGUCUAGGGCUACACACGUGCUACAAUGGUCGGUACAGAGAGAUGCUAAACCGUGAGGUGAGCCAAACUUUAAAACCGAUCUCAGUUCGGAUUGUAGGCUGAAACUCGCCUAC
rnacentral:rRNA from 1 species